CUCUUCCGCAACCCGGACCGCUUCUCCUGGGUCGACCCAGCGCUGUGGCGCUCGGAGGNGGCGCGGCUGCUGGACGCCUUCCUGUCACUGCCCCAGUACCAAGGGCUGCAAGUGGCCGUGUCCAGGGUGCCGCGCUGGUCCCGGCUGCGGGAGGCCGACAUGGAGAUCCAGGUGGUGCUGGCGGACACUGGACCCGAGACCGGCGGCGCGGGGCGGCUGGCCCGGGCCCUCGUGGCGGAUGUGGCGGAGCACGGUAAGCGCCCCGCCCCUUCCUCUGGCUCCGCGUGGCCGCCGGCCGCUGAGCCCACCUCCCUUGCAGGCGAGGCCCUCGGGGUCCUAUCGGCCGCCCUGCGGGAGUCGGGCGCGCCAGUCGGGGGCGACGUCCGCAGCUGAGCAGAACGCGCCCGGGUCCCGCGCGGGGCUCGCAGGCGGCGUGGUGGCCGCGGUGCUGCUGGUGCUGCUGGCGCUGCUGGGGAUCGUGCUGCUGCGCCGCACCGGGAGGCUCAGGUGUGCGGCAGGCUCAGGUUUGCAGCUGGCGGGAAGCGGGAGCAGCGCCAUCCGAGGGGCUCAUCUGUGUCCCGCUCCCCAGGUGGAGGAGGCAGGAGGAGGCAGAGCCCGCCCCUGCGGGGACGCCCUCGGGCUUCAGCAACCCGGUAUUCUUCGUGGCGACCUCGGAGGAGCCGCCCCCAGUGCGGCCUUGUAGUCCGGCCCUGAAGAUGGACAGCAGCACAAGCCACAGCUACUUUGACAACCCGCUCUUCGCUGCCGAGGCUGAGGCCUGACCACUGCUGGCGCCCACCUCCUACCCUGUUGCCCCCUCCUGUGGGGGUGCUGGGUCUCUGACCUGUGGCCUCCUCAUCCCUGAGACCUUAGUCUUUUCCUGUCUUCCUUGAAGACCAAGGAUAGGCUGGUCUUGCCCAAUAAAGGGU
rnacentral:lncRNA from 1 species